UCUGGGCGUGGUGGUGUGCGCCUGUAAUCCCAGCUACUUGGGAGGCUGAGGCAGAAGGAUCGCUUGAGCCUGGGAGGUCGGGGCUGCAGUGAGCUGUGAUUGUUGACACUGCACUCCAGCUUAGGUGACAGAGUGAGACCCUGUCUCAA
ensembl:misc_RNA Metazoa_SRP Metazoan signal recognition particle RNA